UACGUAGGGGGCAAGCGUUUGUCCGGAUUUAUUGGGCGUAAAGAGCGUGUAGGCGGCUUUACAGGUCCGUUGUGAAAACUCGAGGCUCAACCUCGAGACGCCGGUGGAAACCGUAAGGCUAGAGUCCGGAAGAGGAGAGUGGAAUUCCUGGUGUAGCGGUGAAAUGCGCAGAUAUCAGGAGGAACACCAAUGGCGAAGGCAGCUCUCUGGUACGUGACUGACGCUGAGACGCGAAAGCGUGGGUAGCAAACAGG
rnacentral:rRNA from 1 species